AAACACUUUCAUGGUUACAAUAAUAUUGAAGUCUUAAGUGAAGUGUGUAAAUAGCUUCCUGCUUAAAAUGAAACUGGUGGGCACUGUGACUGGGCAGAGCAGCAGGACUAGAUGUGGGGACAGCAGCCUUUGUGAACCUUGAUAGAAACAGUUUUAAUCUAGGGGGAGUUCUCUGUCCCACUCUGAAGAUACUCUGUUAGCCUGCAGCAUGGGAUGAACUUAGCCUGAUUUUUCUUCACGGUUUGAUUUCAUGAUGUCAUCGUGGAAAUCUUCUUGCCACCUGUUUUUGGUAGGGGUGGCUGCCUUGCACCCUCAGCCAGGGGCAUUCCAAAUGCCUGUUUCAGCCCUAAAAUGUAAGUAAAACCACGUAACUGCUUCACAGCAGCCAGUACCCCAUCCCUCCAGUCUUACUAGCUGUAAGCCUGGCAUAAGCACACAUGUACAUAUAUAUACAUGUAUGUAUAGUGAUACAUAUAUCCUCCGUUUCAUAGCUGACAUCAAGGAACCCCACCUCAGCAUAUCCUGGAAGCUUGAUACUUGGGCAUUUGUGCUCAAUAAUGAAUUGCUCUCUCAAAAUAGUCCACAAGUGACAGAACAAAC